GGACCAAGGAGUCUAGCAUGUGCGCGAGUCAUUGGGAUUUUUACUAAACCUAAAGGCGCAAUGAAAGUGAAGGUCCGCCUUGCGCGGACCGAGGGAGGAUGGACCGUUCCGAGGGACGGCCUCGCACUCCCGGGGCGUCUCGCUCUCAUCGCGAGAAGAGGCGCACCCAGAGCGUACACGCUGGGACCCGAAAGAUGGUGAACUAUGCCUGGUCAGGACGAAGUCAGGGGAAACCCUGAUGGAGGUCCGUAGCGAUUCUGACGUGCAAAUCGAUCGUCGGAACUGGGUAUAGGGGCGAAAGACUAAUCGAACCAUCUAGUAGCUGGUUCCCUCCGAAGUUUCCCUCAGGAUAGCUGGCGCUCGCUUCUCGCGAGUCUCAUUCGGUAAAGCGAAUGAUUAGAGGCAUUGGGGUCGAAACGGCCUCAACCUAUUCUCAAACUUUAAAUGGGUGAGAUCUCCGGCUUGCUUGAACUGUGAAGCCGCGAGAUAUCGGAUCAGAGUGCCAAGUGGGCCACUUUUGGUAAGCAGAACUGGCGCUGUGGGAUGAACCAAACGCCGAGUUAAAGCGCCUAAAUCGACGCUUAUGGGAUACCAUGAAAGGCGUUGGUAACUUAAGACAGCAGGACGGUGGCCAUGGAAGUCGGA
rnacentral:rRNA from 5 species